AUGUAUGAUUUAAGUAAGUUACCUGGCAGGCCUACACACGACUCUUUAUUUGUUAAUCCCACGAGAGAUAUAACUAGAUAUAAUGAAGUUGGAGUGGAGGGAGGACCUUACAAGAAAUUCCACCUUCGAUUAUUGUUAUUGGUGAGGUCCCCAAAAGGUAAGAAAGGGAAGCAACUAGAUGUAGUAGUGGAGGAAGUAAUUGUUGAAGAUAAUGUGAAUGGCUUCUCGAACCCUGUUGUUGCUGCCAAAGAGCGGGCGAAACGCAGAAAUCGAAUCACCGUUAAACUCCUGAGUGAAGAGAAUGGAGGUAUCUCGAUAUCGGCUUCUGAAGUGACUUAUGAGUUUUGUUUUUUAGGGUUAC